rnacentral:ncRNA from 1 species
AUCGGUAGAGGAUGCGGCCGACAUCAGUAAGCGCGCAGAGCACGGACAGCUUUGACGCGCGCCGAAAGGGGACGCCGCCGAGGUUUGCGUUUUUCGUCCGGGGAACGCAUGCCGGGGCUUUCGUCAACAGCGGAAGAACUGUCACAUUUUUGUGGAGAGCUAUCUGA